UCCUUGAGCAGCUGCUCUUUUUGAUACAGACUAUACCUUUAAAUUUACCAGUUGGAACGUCCUGCUACUUGGAUAAUAUGCGUUUAGAAAGAACAAAAAACUCUCAGAAGGUAUUUAAAGUGUGAGAAGAAGAUGCUAGAGGAUUUCAUCUAUUCUGUAUUGUGCUAUGUAUGUGUAAUAGGUACAAUAAUAUAUAAAUACAUCAAUAAAAGGAAAUAACAAACUAAAAAACAA